rnacentral:rRNA from 1 species
UACGUAGGGUGCAAGCGUUGUCCGGAAUUAUUGGGCGUAAAGAGCUCGUAGGCGGUUUGUUGCGUCGGCUGUGAAAUCCCGAGGCUCAACCUCGGGUCUGCAGUCGAUACGAGCAAACUAGAGUGUUGCAGGGGAGACUGGAAUUCCUGGUGUAGCGGUGAAAUGCGCAGAUAUCAGGAGGAACACCGGUGGCGAAGGCGGUUCUCUGGGACGGUACUGACGCUGAGACGCGAAAGCGUGGGGAGCGAACAGG